rnacentral:lncRNA from 12 species
GAUGUCUUGAACAUCUGAAAGGAUUGUGUGAAAAAUACCAUAAAUACUACUAUGAACUCCAUGGGACACAACCUUGAGGCGCAAACAAAGUUGAGUCCCACACAUCCUUUACCUGUCCUUUGCCAUAAACACAUCCUGAAUAAACUAAGGACAUGGCUGAACUUUCUGAAGUCACAGGACUAUGGUUGCAUCUACAAUGUGGAGAACAGAGAAUACACCAGCUGAUCAGACAGAUCACUACACCUGUGGUCUAGGAGAAAAGGUGCCAGCCAGAAAGGUCUUUGGCUCCAGCCCCAGGCUUUCAACUAUUAGAGUGAGCAAUGCCAGACUUUUGUUUUCCUGUCAGUUGUUUUUC